rnacentral:rRNA from 1 species
AGCAGUCGCCGCGGGAAUACGGAGGGAGCUAGCGUUGUUCGGAAUUACUGGGCGUAAAGCGCGCGUAGGCGGUUACUCAAGUCAGAGGUGAAAGCCCGGGGCUCAACCCCGGAACUGCCUUUGAAACUAGGUGACUAGAAUCUUGGAGAGGUCAGUGGAAUUCCGAGUGUAGAGGUGAAAUUCGUAGAUAUUCGGAAGAACACCAGUGGCGAAGGCGACUGACUGGACAAGUAUUGACGCUGAGGUGCGAAAGCGUGGGGAGCAAACAGGAUUAGAUACCCGCGUAGUCCCUGUCUCUUAUAC